CAAGUUUGAUCAUGGCUCAGGAUAAACGCUGGCGGCGCACAUAAGACAUGCAAGUCGAACGAACUUAACCAUUAGUUUACUAUUGGAGCGGUUAGUGGCGGACUGGUGAGUAACACGUAAGCAACCUGCCUAUCAGAGGGGAACAACAGUUAGAAAUGACUGCUAAUACCGCAUAUGCCUUAGAAUCACAUGGUUCGAAAGGGAAAGGAGCAAUCCGCUGAUAGAUGGGCUUGCGU
rnacentral:rRNA from 1 species